rnacentral:tRNA from 1 species
GAAAAAUUAGUUAAAUAAUAAUAUUAGCUUGUCAUGCUAGAGUAGCUUUUUGAGCAUUUUUCU